rnacentral:rRNA from 2 species
CCCGCACAAGCGGUGGAGCAUGUGGUUUAAUUCGAAGCAACGCGAAGAACCUUACCAGGUCUUGACAUCCUCUGACAAUCCUAGAGAUAGGACGUCCCCUUCGGGGGCAGAGUGACAGGUGGUGCAUGGUUGUCGUCAGCUCGUGUCGUGAGAUGUUGGGUUAAGUCCCGCAACGAGCGCAACCCUUGAUCUUAGUUGCCAGCAUUCAGUUGGGCACUCUAAGGUGACUGCCGGUGACAAACCGGAGGAAGGUGGGGAUGACGUCAAAUCAUCAUGCCCCUUAUGACCUGGGCUACACACGUGCUACAAUGGACAGAACAAAGGGCAGCGAAACCGCGAGGUUAAG